rnacentral:rRNA from 1 species
UGUUUCCAUUAAUCAAGAACGAAAGUUAGAGGUUCGAAGGCGAUCAGAUACCGCCCUAGUUCUAACCAUAAACGAUGCCAGCCAGCGAUCCGGCUGUGUUCCUCAAAUGACACGCCGGGCAGCUUCCGGGAAACCAAAGCUUUUGGGUUCCGGGGGAAGUAUGGUUGCAAAGCUGAAACUUAAAGGAAUUGACGGAAGGGCACCACCAGGAUUGGAGCCUGCGGCUUAAUUUGACUCAACACAGGGCAACUCAUCUGGUCCGGACACAGGAAGGAUUGACAGAUUAAGAGCUCUUUCUUGAUUCUGUGGCAGGUGGUGCAUGGCCGUUCUUAGUUGGUGGAGCGAUUUGUCUGGUUAAUUCCGAUAACGAUCGAGACUCUAGCCUACUAAAUAGACGUUCCGAUCCUUGUAGUCGGACGUUCUUCUUAGAGGGACAAGCGGCGUUUAGCCGCACGAGACAGAGCAAUAACAGGUCUGUGAUGCCCUUAGAUGUCCGGGGCCGCACGCGCGCUACAUUGAAGGAAUCAGCGUGUGCUUUCCCUGUCCGACAGGACUGGGUAACCCGUUGAACCUCCUUCGUGCUGGGGAUAGGAAAUUGUAAUUGUUUUCCUUGAACGAGGAAUUCCCAGUAAGCACGAGUCAUCAGCUCGUGUUGAUUACGUCCCUGCUCUUUGUGCACACCGCCCGUCGCUACUACCGAUUGAAUGAUUUAGUGAGGUCUUCGGACUGGCGCUCGGAUUGGCCUUCGGGUCGAGCCGGCGUGCCGGAAAGAUGACCGAACUUGAUUAUUUAGAGGAAGUAAAAGUCGUAACAAGGUUUCC